rnacentral:tRNA from 1 species
GAUUCAGUGGUGUAGUGGUAUCACGGGCGCUUGCCAUCAUAGUUUGCGCCCGACCCGGGUUCGAUUCCCGGCUGAUUCA